GUGUAAAUCUUUGAAUUGAUUGAAAAUUAAAAAAUUGAUUGAUAAAAUAUGGUCGGUCUUGAAAACUGGCGAGGGUUUACGCCCUCCGUGAGUUCGAAUCUCACUUCCUACGCCA
rnacentral:tRNA from 2 species